rnacentral:rRNA from 1 species
AGCCAUAUGCUUGUCUUAAAGAUUAAGCCAUGUGUGUCCCAGUAUAAAUCUUAAACCGUCGAAACUGCGAAUGGCUCAUUAAAACAGUAGUGAUCUUUUUGGUGAUCGGGAGUUCUUCGGAUACCUGCGGUAAUUCCGGAGCUAAUACUUGCACAAUCGCGCAACUUUUCGGGAGCGUUGUAGUUAUUAGGUUCAGAACCAACCCGCCAUACGGUUGUUGGGUGAUUCACAAUAAAUGUGCGGAGCGUAGGACUUGUGUCGGCGCCGUGGCAUUCGAGUUUCUGACCUAUCAGCUUUGGGCGGUAGGGUAUUGGCCUACCGUGGCAUUGACGGGUAACGGGGAAUUAGGGUUCGAUUCCGGAGAGGGAGCCUGAGAAAUGGCUACCACAUCUAAGGAAGGCAGCAGGCGCGCAAAUUACCCAAUCCUAGCACAGGGAGGUAGUGACAAAAAAUAGCAAAGCAACCCGCAAUAGCGGUGUUGUUAUUGGAAUGAGUAGAUCUUAAACCCUUUUACGACUAUCGAU